UGGGAACACUGACCUCACGGGGCGGCUAGCUGCACGGAUUCAGCGAGGCCAAGGGUGUGAAGCAGACCCACUAGCCUUUCUCACCACUGCCAGGGGCAGGGGCAGGCUCGAGCUGGUCAGUCCCCCGGGCUCAGGGCACAAGGCCAGGAGGAAGGGCUGGAUGAGGGAGCUUUUGCAACUUGCCCUAACUGCUCUGGCCUCCCCGCUCCUGGGUGGUGAUGAGAAGAGCCUCAGACAGGAGAGAACAACGAAACAGCCAUUUCCUUCCUCGUUGGGGUCCUGUGAGCUGUGGUCGCCAGCAGGGAGGAGUCAAACAAAAACUGCCGAUAACCUCAAUCAUGGCACCCACCGUCAACGUCGCACAGAACAGGGAACGGGUCCCGCCGCCAAGUUCCCUACCGUCGUCACCGCCACGGCCACCGCCGCUGCCACGCUCACAGCACUGGCCGUCCACGGCCACACACGACCAACCUCCACUAGGGCCGCCGUUCCCACACCACCAUCGCCAGGGCGGUCGUCAAAAAUCAGCAACGGACGGCCGACAGCCAAAAGUGCUGCCAUCACCGCCCCACUCGGGGCGAGAGCGGCCACCGACUACCGUCAUUCCACGGAUCAGCCCUGAAGACGACCAGCCACCAACCACAGAUCAACACCGGCUGGCAGGCGGCAACCAUCGCCCCUGCCGACACGCGCCCACGGGACUCAACAGUUACCGCCACCUUGCGAGCGACGUGGGCGAUGACCACCAUCAUCCCCCCCCCCCCCCGGGCACCCACCACCCAUCAUCAUUCAACAGCAACCGAGAGCGCCUCCCCCGGCUGCCAUCACUAACGACAGCAAUGAAUGGGCAUCGCCCACGGGGACUGCAUCGAGGGCACAGCGCGUGGCUUGGGGAAGCACUUGAAGAACACUGCUCCGUUGACUCCUUCCACACUCUUCCUAGCACUCCUCGCCCCCCCCCAGGAGCAGUCGGCACCCCUGGAUGGAAGUUUUUGGCCUCGUGGAUGGGGUCUGCCCUCUCUUUUCCCCUCCGUGGUCCUCUUGGGUGAGCUU
rnacentral:lncRNA from 1 species